rnacentral:tRNA from 1 species
GUGGGGAUGCAGCUCAGUGGAAGAGAACUCUCCUAGCAAGGGCAAGGCCCUGGGUUCCACUCCCAGCACCACA